AUUAAAAUUAUGAUUGAAAUUUUUGAACUUAAUUCAUAAAUUGGGGUCCUUGUAUUUUACUUCCUCAUGAGAAAAUUGUUGUAAUUUCUUUAAAAAAUUAAAAUUACUUAUAGAAAUAAAUGCAAUAGAUCUAUAAAUAGUAUAACAUCAAUUAGAACUAUGGCUGCCACUGCUAAAAGCUUUUGCAGCAAAUAGUUUUACUGCAUCUGGAAAGGGUUUGGUGUAUUUGGAUCAGGACUGAAAAGUUCAGUGAAACCACAAACCACAACCAAUGAGACUGCUUUUAUGUUUCCAGAGUUCACAGAAAUGUUAGAACCCAUUCCAGAACUGAUAGUCCAAGGCUGUGUGAGGUCGUUGACAAAAAUUCCAGUCUGCUUUCUACUUCGAAGUGAGAGAGUCUCAUUUGGUGCAAUACUCUGUUUUAUAGCAGGGAAGAUCUUGGAAAAAUGUGUGAGCACAAUGUACCUUUUGGUAUCAUUUUCAAUGAAGUUAUUUAUUAAGUAAUAAUAGACUUGUGAAGAUUUAUUUUGGCUACACAAUGUUAUGAUAGAUUGGUGAAUAAAAUUGUAAAUAACAUGGGAAAUCUAAUGAUAAUUACAAUUUUAAUUAUCUGUAUUCAAAAUUCAACAAGAUUUAAAAAUAUAUUCUCUGCAGACAUUGACAUUACAUUUUUGAUGAUUUCAGAUAAACUAGCUGAAAAUAUUAAAUAUAGAGGUGAUAAAAGUUAUAAACAAUAUGGU
rnacentral:lncRNA from 1 species